AUCAAGGAGUACGACAAUGCGAUACCGUUUUCCCGAUAACUUCUGGUGGGGCAGCGCCUGCUCAGCGUUGCAAACCGAAGGGGAUAGUCUGAAUGGCGGUAAAAGCCAGACCACGUGGGAUGUGUGGUUCGAGCGCCAGCCUGAUCGUUUUCACCAGGGCGUCGGUCCAGCGGAAACCUCAACGUUCUAUCGCCACUGGAAGCAAGACAUCGCGCUACUGAAACAGUUAAAACACAACAGUUUUCGCACCUCGCUAAGCUGGGCGCGGCUCAUUCCAGACGGCGUAGGCGAGGUGAAUCCACAAGCGGUGAGCUUCUACAAUC
rnacentral:misc_RNA from 1 species